GCAGCAGGCUCCUCCUGCGUGGUGAGCUGGUGCUCAGGCUGGCUCUCGCCUUCAGUGAUGCUCUCAGGCAGGACCACAGUGUCCAUGUCAUCCGUGUCAGUGGAGAUGUGGUCUGUGUAACAGAAAGAUCAAAAGUGAGCUAGAGGCAGCUUUGCACUCUCCAUUGUACCCCAACCUACAGAGAGGAAUUGCUCCACGUGCUGGAAUACUCACUGCUGCUGCAUCAAACAAGUGGAACGGAGCAAAGAUGAUCAUCACUUUGGACACCAAGAUAACGAUCUCCCUGUUGAAAAAUGUACGUACUGGUCAGGGAAAACAGCACAGCCUGGUCCCAAGGGAGUCUGGUUCUGACACAUUUCCCUCAGCCAGCUGCAAAGCCUGAUCCCAGCCCAUGAGACUUGAGUGGAUGGGUGCAGCUUGGGUACCACCAUGGCGGCGUCCCAGUGCCAGAAACAUCUGUGCUGCCCAGUGGGGAGGAACAUGUUUACCAGAUGGGGGUUUAUGAGCUCUGUCAGCAGCUUCUGAGCAGCUCCUCGAUGUAAAUCACACCCUCCAAGAAGGACCUGGGCUGACCUGUGCACAGCAGGGCAGUGACGCAUGAGGUCUUGGCUUGCAUCACAUCCCCUGAUCCCAAGGCAUUGCCCACUCUGACGCUCGCAGCCACGCUGAACCCCAGAGGCACCUGAGAAGCAGGAGAC